rnacentral:lncRNA from 1 species
GCAUCCCUUCAUUGUGGAUUUAACUUAUGCCUUUCAGACUGGUGGAAAACUCUACCUCAUCCUUGAGUAUCUCAGUGGAGGAGAACUAUUUAUGCAGUUAGAAAGAGAGGGAAUAUUUAUGGAAGACACUGCCUGCUUUUACUUGGCAGAAAUCUCCAUGGCUUUGGGACAUUUACAUCAAAAGGGGAUCAUAUACAGAGACCUGAAGCCG